rnacentral:lncRNA from 1 species
GUUUGUUUUGUAUUAGUUUAAUCUGGGGUCUUGACUUUGAGUCUUCAUGUGUGUUAGUGGUAAAUUAUUUUUGCACCUUUUAUUUGUUUGGAGUUAAAGAUAGUUAUUAAUUUUAACUUUAUUUUUUGUUAUUUGGAUUGGUUUGUUUUGGUUUUUAUUUUUUUAUUUGGAAAAAAGGGAAGUUUUUACAUGCCCUCUUCUGUUUUCUUCCUCUUCUUUUUUGGUUUUUUUCCAAUCGAGAGAUUUUCUUUUCUUUCUCUCCCUCUACUGGUUCCCCAAUUAAUUUUGGGUAUAUCAUCAUUGCUGUGACCAGUGAGUCUAUGUGUUGGCUAAGGGAGCGAAUCGAAUGA